UCCUGUCCAACAUUCUUUGCAAUGGAGAAGGGGUUCAUGUUCCUGAUUUGGGCGAGAAGUCCAUUCCAAUCACUCAAGACAGUAAUCCUGUUGAGGAAGUGCAGGCAAGCCGCAGUACCAAGGGAGGAAGGAGGUCCAAAAAUUUUCAUUACAAGGAGGAUGAAGUUGUUUGCUUAGGAUAGUUGAAUGUUAGCAAGGAUCCCAUCAACGGGGCUAAUCAAUCGUGUGGAACAUUUUGGGGAAGAGUUCAUGCUUACUACGAGCAACACAAUGAAACUGGACUUCCUCGUACAGAGAGUUCCAUUAUGCAUAGGUGGUUGACAAUACAAUGGUCCGUGAACAAGUUCUGUUCGUGCUAUGAGGCCAUUCUUCGUAGGAAUCAAAGUGGUACUACUAUCCAAGACAAGCUUAAUGAUGCAAAGAAGUAUUACGCGGACUUAGAUAAGGACAAAAAGCCUUUUGCUCUUGAUCAUUGCUGGAACAUACUUAAAGGGGAGGACAAGUGGAAAGCCAAGAUGGCAGAACUUGUAGAGCUUGAGAAACUAGCAGCAAGCAAAAAGAAACAAAAGACAACAAAGGUGUCCAGGCCAAGAGAUGAAGGAGCCGGCAAUGAUGUUGAAGUCAUAGCUUGUGAUGUUGGACAAACUGAGCCUACUAGGAAGAGGUCAGAUGGGAUAAAGAAGGUACAUAAUUAUUGUCAAGCAUUUUAUGUAUUUUACAUGUAUUUUUUCUUCAUGAUAAAAUAUUUAUUUUUGAACUUAUCUGUAGGUAAAAGAAAAUCUUAGGCGAGGAAGUGGUGAGGCUUGCAUGGAAGCUUUGGAGAAGAUGUGGUCAAAGAAAGAGGCCUACGACAAGGUCAAGGAGAAGGCCAAAGAGGACAGGUUCUUGGCGACACUAGAGAUAGAGAAGGCUACGCUAGAGCUAGAGAAGAAGCGGGUGGAAAAUGAAGCAAAGAAAUCUGAAGCCGACUUGAUGAAAGAAGAAAAAGAAAUUAUGUUAGCGGACAUGACCUCCCUCAACCCGAUGCAGCGUGAUUGGAUUGAGAUUAUGCAGAAGAAGAUUCUCGCGAGACAUGCAGAAAAUUAAGUUUAGUUGGUUGAAUUAUGAGUCAA